CAUCUGGUGGAUGGCUUGGCUCGGGCGCCGACGAAGGGCGCGGCGAGCGGCGAAACUGCCCGGGUAGAUGUAUGCAAUCGUUGAUCCGGGCGUUCCCGAAUGGGACUUCCCCUAGGCGUAAACCGCCUAGGCGCCGACGAGGCGCGGGAACCCCCCGAACGGAAACAUCUUAGUAGGGGGAGGAAAAGAAAUCAAAACGAGAUUCCCUGAGUACCGGCGAGGGAAAAGGGAAGAGGCCAAACUGAAUCCUAGCACGAUGAGUGCUAGGGCGUGUGGGGUUUGGACUUGGAGUAGGGCCUAACUCCACGAGCGGAAGCGCGUUGGAAAACGCCGCCAUAGAGGGUGAUGGCCCCGUACGCGAAGUGGAGAAGGCCUGUCCAAGUUCCAGAGUACCAUGCCCUGACGGGUGUGGGAAGAUGGGAGUCACCGACUUCCAAGCCUAAAUACGUCCCGAGACCGAUAGCGGACAAGUACCGUGAGGGAAAGCUGAAAAGGACCCCGGAAGGGGUGUGAAAAGCGCCUGAAACCAGAUGGGGAUACCCGGUACGGCCUGAAAGGGUUCAAGCUUACCCGAAGGAAUCCGCGGCGACGCGGUAGUACGAGGGUAAGCUACCAGGGUCGUGCCGUUCGUCUUGGAAAACGAGCCGGGGAGUCCAUGGCUGUGGCGAGGGUAAGGGUUCUUUAACCCGCACCCGUAGGGAAACCGACAUGCCCGCAGCGCCUUUGGCGUGAGGGGCGAGGUCCGAUAAGAGCCUGAAGUCACAGUCAUGGGACCAGAAACCGGGCGAUCUAUGCCUGCGCAGGGCGAAGCCGGGCGAAAGCUCGGUGGAGGCCCGAAGGGGUGCUGACGUGCAAAUCGCUCCUCUGACGCGGGCAUAGGGGCAAAAGACCAAUCUAGCCCGGUGAUAGCUGGUUCCCUCCGAAGUGCGUCCUAGCGCAGCCCGGCCAGAGAUCGCCGACGGGGUAGAGCUACGGAUUAGAAAGUGAGAGCCGAAAGGCUCCGCUUUCUUGUCCAACUCCGAAUCCGUCGGCUUCGGAGAAGGCCGGAGUGGGGGCUACGGGAUAAGCUCGUAGUCCGAGAGGGGAACAAGCCUCACUGGGGUUAAGGCCCCUAAGUGCCGGCUAAGUGCACGAAAGAGCGUCUCACGCCUAAGACAGCGAAAAGGUGGGCCCAGAAGUAGCCAUCCUCUAAGGAGUGUGUAACAACUCAUUCGCCGAGGCGUGAGGCCUCGAAGAUGGACGGGGCUCAAGCCGGCCGCCGAGACCCCAGCAUACCGCUUGUAUCAAGCGGUAUGGGUAGGAGGGCGUCCCAACUGGGUAGAAGCAGGGCCGUGAGGUCCUGUGGACCGGUUGGGAUUGCGGAUCCCGGUGGUAGUAGCAGCAAAGAGAGGAGAAUAUCCUCUCCGCCGAAAGGGCCAGGGUUCCUUGGCAACGAUCUUCGGCCAAGGGUUAGCCGGUCCUAAGGUGACCCGUAACUCGGUGUCACCGAAAAAGGGAAAGGGGUUAAUAUUCCCCUGCCACGGAGAUACGUGCCGUAAGGCGCGCCGACACCUGACGCUUCAGGGUAGGUCGAGCGGAGUUGCCGCUCUGUCGACUUAGCCGAAGCUGGGGGAGUGUCGUAAUGACGAGAACCCAGUCAAGGCUAGGUCGGUCCUCCGCAAGGGGGAUUCGGCCGAACCCCGGAGCCCAUGAAAAACGGUGUCGGAAGGAGUCUCCGUGACCGUACCUAGAUCCGACACAGGUGCCCCUGGGUGAGAAGCCCGAGGCGUGUCGGGUUUAUCCCUGGUUAGGGAACUUGGCAAAUUAGCCCCGUACCUUCGGAAGAAGGGGUGCCUGGCAUCCUGCCGUUAGGUGGUGGUGCCAGGUCGCAGUGACUAGGGUGAGCCGACUGUUUAAUAAAAACAUAGGUCACCGCUAGCCGGUAACGGUGUGUACGGUGGCUGAAUCCUGGCCACUGGCGGGACGUCAAACCCGGGUUCAACCGGGCGAAGCGCCGCUGAAGGCCGGGAGUAACUCUGACUCUCUUAAGGUAGCCAAAUGCCUUGCCGGGUAAGUUCCGGCGUGCAUGAAUGGAUCAACGAGCUCACCACUGUCCCAACCAGGGGCCCGGCGAAACUACGUCACCUGGUGCAUAGUCCAGGGACCCCCGACCGGGAGAAAAGACCCCGUGGAGCUUUACUGCAGCCUGUUGUUGGGAUACGGUUGUGGAUGCGGAGAGUAGGCGGGAGCAAUGAGGUCAUGGCUCCGGCCAUGGCCAAUGCGCCGUUGAAACACCGCCCAUCCAUAGCUGUGUCCCUAACCUCGAAAGAGGGACAGCAAUAGGUGGGCAGUUCGGCUGGGGCGGCACGCCCACGAAAAGAUAUCGUGGGCGCCCAAAGGUUGGCUCAGGCGGGUCAGAACUCCGCCGUAGAGUGCAAGGGCAAAAGCCAGCCUGACCGAGUCCUUAUGGCGAGGGACUCGGAGGGGAAACCCAGGCCUAGCGACCGCUCAUGCCUCCCUCGGUGGGAGCUGGGCAUGACAGAAAAGUUACCCCGGGGAUAACAGAGUCGUCGCGGGCGAGAGCUCCUAUCGACCUCGCGGUUUGCUACCUCGAUGUCGGCUCUUCCCAUCCUGGUGGUGCAGCAGCCGCCAAGGGUGGGGCUGCCCGCCCAUUAAAGGGGAACGUGAGCUGGGUUUAGACCGUCGUGAGACAGGUCGGUCUCUCCCUAUCGGGGGUGCUGGUCGCCUGAGGGGAAGGUGCCCUUAGUACGAGAGGAACGGGGCGCCGCGGCCUCUAGUUUACCGGUUGUCUGGCAAGGCAGACGCCGGGCAGCCACGCCGUAUCUGGGUAACCGCUGAAAGCAUCUAAGCGGGAACCCAGCCCCGAAAAUAGGCGGCCAAUCCCCCGUUCUAAUAGAACGGGGGACGAGGGCACCAGUAGAAGACUGGGUUGAUAGGGUGGGGGUGUAAGCGCCAAGGCUUCGGCCGAGGCGUUCAGCCUGCCACUACUAACAGCCCGAGGGCUGAGUCUU
rnacentral:rRNA from 1 species